UAUGUAAUCGCGGCUGGCAAUGCCGAAAGGCGCCAGGUGAGGAAAGUCCGGGCUUCACAGGGCAGGAUGCCGGAUAACGUCCGGCGGAGGCGACUCCAGGGACAGUGCAACAGAAAUGAACCGCCGUCUGAGGACGGUAAGGGUGGAAGGGCAGUGUAAGAGACUACCGCCCCGCUGGCAACAGCGGGGGCACAUGUAAACCCCAUCCGAAGCAAGACCGGAGCGAAAACAAUGUGGCGGCCCGUCACGUUUUCAGGUAGGUCGCUUGAGGCUGCCGGCAACGGCAGUCCUGGAUAGAUGAUUACACACGACAUAACCCGGCUUAUCGUUCUGCUUA
rnacentral:RNase_P_RNA from 1 species